GCUUGAAAGACAGCGACUUUUGAUUAAACUGGCCUUGUAGCACAUUGUCUAGCUUACAACGAUUUGAAAGAGGCAUUGUUUAUGUUUUUACAACGUAUAUCCCAUGAGUUAUUGAUGCCGGAAGUCUGAAUCUGUGAAAAUCUUGCCAACUUUACCGAACUCAGAGUGAGUUGAACAGAGCGAGGUGGAUGCAGAGCGGAGGCGGUAUUUUCAAAGGAAGAGUAAAUCCAACAAGUGAAACAUGGCCGACACGGAGAAAACAGUUUCAACGAAAUCCGCAAAAGUGUGGCAGCAUUUCACGCUUCACAAAACAAAAAAUAUGCGUAACAUGCAAGCUUUGCAAAAGUAAUAUGAGAUGGAAGCACCACGAUGAUGAUGCAGCACCUGAAACGGAAACACGUUGGAGUCGCCGAUGAGGAUGAAGGAGCUCAACAGCAGCAAACAAUGACAGGCUUCAUGAUGAGAAAGACAUCAUGUCCACCACAGCAAGCAUCUGUCCUGACUGAGAGCAUCCUCAACAUGAUGCUCACUGGCAUGAGGCUUCUGUCGAUGGUUGAAGACGAAUACUUCGCUACAAUGAUCUUUUUUUCCUGUCAGUCCAAAUCUUCUCUUUCUGAAUAAAGCGGCGGAAAUUAAAAAUGUUUUUUUUUAUCCGAUUCAUCGAUUAAUAAAAAAAAAAAAUCUACCGAUUAAUCAAUUAUUAAAAUAAUAGUUAGUUGCAGCCCUAUUAUUUACAUAAAAAAAUUCAAUAAAGUCACAUGAAUGUCAA